AAAAAUUUAGUUAAAUUUAUAACGUUAGUUUGUCAAACUAAAAUUAUUUAAAGAAUAAUUUUUA
rnacentral:tRNA from 1 species